rnacentral:rRNA from 1 species
UACGAAGGGGGCUAGCGUUGCUCGGAAUCACUGGGCGUAAAGCGCACGUAGGCGGCUUUUUAAGUCAGGGGUGAAAUCCUGGAGCUCAACUCCAGAACUGCCUUUGAUACUGAGAAGCUUGAGUCCGGGAGAGGUGAGUGGAACUGCGAGUGUAGAGGUGAAAUUCGUAGAUAUCUGGAGGAACACCGGUGGCGAAGGCGGCAUCCUGGACCAAUACUGACGCUGAGGAGCGAAAGCCAGGGGAGCAAACGGG